UGGGGAAUUUUGGACAAUGGGGGCAACCCUGAUUCAGCAAUGCCGCUUGUGUGAAGAAGGCCUUCGGGUUGUAAAGCACUUCUGUCCGGGAAGAAAUCGCACCUGAUAAUACCGGGUGUGGAUGACGGUACCGGAAGAAUAAGGACCGGCUAACUACGUGCCAGCAGCCGCCGUAAUACGUAGGGUCCAAGCGUUAAUCGGAAUUGCUGGGCGUAAAGCGUGCGCAGUCGGUUGUGCAAGACCGAUGUGAAAUCCCCGGGCUUAACCUGGGAGUUGCAUUGGGGACUGCACGGCUAGAGUGUGUCAGGGGGGGGUAGAAUUCCACGUGUAGCAGUGAAAGGCGAAGAGAUGUGGAGGAAUGCAGAAAGAGAAGGCAGCCCCCUGGGAUAACACUGACGCUAAUGCACGAAAGCGUGGGGAGCAGACAGG
rnacentral:rRNA from 1 species